UGGGGAAUAUUGGACAAUGGGCGCAAGCCUGAUCCAGCCAUGCCGCGUGAGUGAAGAAGGCCCUAGGGUUGUAAAGCUCUUUCACCGAUGAAGAUAAUGACUGUAGUCGGAGAAGAAGCCCCGGCUAACUUCGUGCCAGCAGCCGCGGUAAUACGAAGGGGGCUAGCGUUGUUCGGAAUUACUGGGCGUAAAGCGCGCGUAGGCGGAUACUUAAGUCAGGGGUGAAAUCCCGAGGCUCAACCUCGGAACUGCCUUUGAUACUGGGUAUCUUGAGUUCGAGAGAGGUAAGUGGAAUUCCGAGUGUAGAGGUGAAAUUCGUAGAUAUUCGGAGGAACACCAGAGGCGAAGGCGGCCUGCUGGGGCUUUUCUGACGCUGAGGCGCGAAAGCGUGGGGAGCAAACAGGAUUAGAUACCCUGGUAGUCCACGCUGUAAACGAUGAGCACUCGAUGUGCGAGGUACGACCCCUCGCGUGUCACAGCUAACGCAUUAAGUGCUCCGCCUGGGGACUACGGUCGCAAGACUA
rnacentral:rRNA from 1 species